AAGUCAUUCCCAGAAAUAGAGCUAUUCACAGAUUUUUUAAAAAGAUAUGCACUGGUUCAAACAGGAAUGAUUUUGGGGAAGUUCUAUGGCCCGUGUUAUACAGGAGGUCAGAUUAGGGGAUCAAAAUGAUCCUUUCUUGUUCUUGGAAUCUAUGAAGCUGUGAAUCAACAGUGAUAGCUACUUGUAAGUGGAAUAUUAGACUGGAAAAUAUCCCAAAGCUAAACAAUUCCCUCAGCAAAACUCUAUGUCUUACUUUGGGUUUCCAUUUGCGAAAUCGUUCUUCUCAUUAGAGCUGCAUUGAUAAUAUAAUCCUGUGAAUGUCAGCUGGUGGUGAUUCACCCAGGAGCACAUUUCCAGCAGAUUGUCAUUACUGAUCUGGGUGGGUGCGAUACUUUGCAUCCCAAUAACCUUCUGCAUCUGAUGAGAUGUCACAUGAGCCAUGGAUCCUGGUGAAAUGGUAUCAGAUAGAAGCAAUGUAUCACAUCAGAUAAUGCAACAUAUAAUACAAUCCAAAUCAUGAGUAAAAGGAAUGAGAACACAAAGAGACCGAGCUGUUCUGGUACCUAUGCACCAAUGGGCCCAGAUUAACACAAGCAAAAACGAUGAAGUGUGCACAUGACCCAGUGACUACAGGAGGCUUGAAAAGACAUUAGAAGAAACUAUUUUGUCACAUCAGGCUUUUGCUAUAGCAAUUAUAUUCAUGAUAUGUACUGAGAAGACACAAGCAAA
rnacentral:lncRNA from 1 species